rnacentral:rRNA from 1 species
GAUGAACGCUGGCGGCGUGCCUAAUACAUGCAAGUCGAGCGAACAGACGAGGAGCUUGCUCCUCUGACGUUAGCGGCGGACGGGUGAGUAACACGUGGAUAACCUACCUAUAAGACUGGGAUAACUUCGGGAAACCGGAGCUAAUACCGGAUAAUAUAUUGAACCGCAUGGUUCAAUAGUGAAAGACGGUUUUGCUGUCACUUAUAGAUGGAUCCGCGCCGCAUUAGCUAGUUGGUAAGGUAACGGCUUACCAAGGCAACGAUGCGUAGCCGACCUGAGAGGGUGAUCGGCCACACUGGAACUGAGACACGGUCCAGACUCCUACGGGAGGCAGCAGUAGGGAAUCUUCCGCAAUGGGCGAAAGCCUGACGGAGCAACGCCGCGUGAGUGAUGAAGGUCUUCGGAUCGUAAAGCUCUGUUAUUAGGGAAGAACAAAUGUGUAAGUAAAUAUGCACGUCUUGACGGUACCUAAUCAGAAAGCCACGGCUAACUACGUG